rfam:Sorex araneus cont1.662934, whole genome shotgun sequence.
CUUACCAUGCGCCGCCAAGGGUCCGCCGAGCUCAGAGCGCAGCCGAUGAGGAGUAGGGGGAGGAAUCGAGGUGGGGAGGGGUGUGCCGGAGCCACGGGGAUAGGGACCUGGUGAAACCCCGGGGAGCACUCAGCCUCUGGCCUGGGGAGGAAGGAGGGGUUAGGGAAGGAUUCCUGGAAGAAGGAGGACCUAAGUUGCAGGUUGCUAUUUUUAAAUUUUAUUGGUUUCCUAAAACACAAAAGU